rnacentral:rRNA from 1 species
UGGUGGAGUGAUUUGUCUGGUUAAUUCCGUUAACGAACGAGACCUCAGCCUACUAACUAGUUGUACGAACUUCCGUUCGUCACAACUUCUUAGAGGGACAUUCGGUUUCGAGCCGAAGGAAGUUUGAGGCAAUAACA